UACAGAGGUCUCAAGCGUUGUUCGGAUUCAUUGGGCGUAAAGGGUGUGUAGGUGGCGCCGUAAGUCGGGUGUGAAAUUUCGGAGCUUAACUCCGAAACUGCAUUCGAUACUGCGGUGCUUGAGGACUGGAGAGGAGACUGGAAUUCAUGGUGUAGCAGUGAAAUGCGUAGAGAUCAUGAGGAAGACCAGUGGCGAAGGCGGGUCUCUGGGCCUUACCUGACGCUCAGGUGCGAAAGCUAGGGGAGCGAACAGG
rnacentral:rRNA from 1 species